rnacentral:rRNA from 1 species
GAUGAACGCUGGCGGCGUGCCUUAUACAUGCAAGUCGAGUGGGUUUAGACCCACGUCAAACGGGUGAGUAUCACGUAGGUACUUUCCUUGUCACAGGAAUAACCCUCCGAAAGGAGGGCUAAUACCUGAUGUGAUCGCAAGAUUAAAGGGUAUCCGCAAGGAUUACCGGACAAGAAGAGGCCUGCGGCCUAUCAGCUAGUUGGCUGGGUAAAUGCCCACCAAGGCUAUGACGGGUAGCGGGUCUUACGAGGAUGAGCAGUCACAUGGGCACUGAGACACGGGCACAACAUCUUCGGGAAGCAGCAGUAGGGAAUUUUGCGCACGGGGCGAGAGCCUGACGCAGCGACGCCGCGUACGAGAUGAAGGCCUGCGGGUCAUAAACCGCUUUUAUAAGGGGCGAACUUUGACGGUACCUUAUGAAUAAGAGAUUGCUAACUCUGUG